AAUAAACGCAGCCAUGAGUUUUCGUGUCCAAUUUUGAUCAUCCGUCUUAUUUCAUUUUCUUUAUGAUUAAUAUUUUUAUUGUUAUUAGAUUAUAAAACAUGAAUGAUACUUUCUGUGUGACUUAUGUUUUUUAGGUUUUUCAAUAAUUUUAAAUAAGACGAAUGAUCAAAGUUGGACACGGAAACUCAUGGCUGCGUUUAUU
rfam:Oryza meridionalis cultivar OR44 (W2112) chromosome 10, whole genome shotgun sequence.